GCGUUGCUCAUUUUGGACGUACAUCUGCAGGGAGAAAGCAGCCUGCAAAGAUGUCCAGACUGUUGUCUCUCAGAGUAAAGAUGCUGAGGUGGCUCCCCCUGUUGUCCAGUUGCUGAUGUCCCACUUCUUACUUCAUGUAGAUACAAUAUCCAGCUGUCUGAUGUUGAGAGGAGCCUCAUCCAACCCCUGAAUCAUCUAAUAUUGAUCAGUGUGUAUUCCACAAUAUAUGUUCCUGCACAACCGAAGGCUGAAGUUUCAGGACCCUAUUUCAUGUGACAUCUAGCCAUUUCUAUUUCAAUAGAGGAGACUUAAAACCAACUUAAAAGCAUUAAAUUCCAUUAAGUACACAAGUACUUUUUUUUAAAUUUAUUAACAAUACUACUAAUUGACUUUAGGUAGAGAUGAGUCCUUUAAGAGAAAUGUCUUGCAUAUUAAUCUGUUUAAUAUAAUAUAAAGUGUGAUUGUUUCCAAAAAACAUUUGAUGAAGAACCUCAAAAGAACAUAACGAAUAGAGUAAAAUGUUCUCUCUUCAAGUAAAAUUAAAAUAAUUUUUCUGUUGGACCAGAACUCUCCUAUUGGAUUUGUUUUUUUCAACUUCUGAUGUCAGAUCACCUGACAACAUUGAUGACUUUUCAAUGGAUGUUAACUUUUCUUUUGCCACCUCUUCUUACCAAGGUUACUUUCGUAAACGAAAACUGAAACUAAGACUAAAACUAUUGGUCAAAAACAUUUUCGUAAACUGAAAUAAAAUAAAAAUUUCUAAAUAAAUGAAAAACUAAAACUAAACGAAACUAACAACAGUAACUGAAAAACUAACGAAAAUAAAAUAAUAAUUAGCAAAAAUAAAUAAUCGUGUUCGUGAUUUUAAUAAGCUGUCAUUCUGUGCCAGAAAAUCGGACCUGUGGUUGUUCAGGGAAAUAGAUGGUGCUUCAUGCACGUGAGCUGCGUCCUAAGCGGCUAUUCACAGAGAAUGCGUUUUUGCAUUUAAAAAACAAGAGGUGGGCUAUGAAAUGGGAAAUAAUAAUAAUGCACACUUUACAGCGCACGAACGUUUAAAAGCUUGCUUGACGUGCGAGAACAACAUGAGAGUGAGUUAGACACAGAAUUAAAAGUUUUGGAUGAGCUGACUUUAGUGAAUAGUCAUUUUGUCACGCUUUGCGAUUUACUAUGGUAAGGUCCGUCUCGAAUCCAUGACACGAGCACCGCCUUGACUUUAUAAAACGCAUCCGAAAUGAGAGAAAGUGAUAGCCGCGCUGUGUUUUCACCGCUGGCCGUGUUGUGUAAAAGGGGCUGUAGAACUGGGAUUGAUUGCGUUGCUCAUCUGAAGCGCGUGCGCGCUGGAGCGGUGCAAACAUCAUUUAAAUCACCAUCGCAUUUAUUUUUGAGUAGUAUGAGGUUUCAAAGCAUUUUAGAUUGUUUAUUCUUAUUGUGUACGUUCAUAGAGGGAGACGGGACAUACAGUGUGCACCGGUGGCUCGUAUGUGCAAAAAAUCCAGCAAAUUAAUGCAUUGAAAACACAGAUGAACAAAAAUAAAGUUUACAGAGUUUCAGUGACGAUUGCAAACAACAAGCCUGCGUCCCAAUGUUUACACUGUCCAUGCUAAAAUCUAUGUGAUUUAAGUAAUUUUUAAUACUAUUUAGGGCAGAUAGGGUGGAUAGUAUGCACAUUGGGACGCAGGGCAUCUUUCCUCAAAUCCAGCACUGGAGGGCCAUUGAUCUGCAGAAUUUAGCUCCAGCCCUGAUACAAACUCAACUGUCUGAUGCUGUCUAGUAACUCUGAAAACCUUGAUUAGCUUGUUGUUUGUAAACUAUUGGCAUAUUAAACAAGAUUACAUCUUUAAUAUGAAUGAAUAUGAACAUGAAUGUGAAUUAAUAAAUUGUAUCCAUAUAAGCUGCAUAUUUUUGGUUUUUGUUGAAUUGCAAAUAAUUAUUUUAUUGUCAUUAUUAAGAGGUUUGCACAAGAGUUAACUGUAAACUGCAAACAUUCAACUUUGCUAAAAUUAAAUGUCUUGGUUUGGUCUACAUUAACUCUGUUAAAAUAUAAUAACUAAAAUAUAUAAAAACUGUGUUCACAAAAUAAAAACUAAACUAAAACUAACAAAACCAUUAAUGAAACUAACUUUAACUCAACUGAAAUUAUAGGAAAUUUGAAAACGAUAUUAAAUAAAAACUAAUUUAAAAAUUCAAAACUAUAAUAUCCUUGCUUCUUACUACAUCUGAAUCAACCAUCCCUGCAAACCUGCCAGUCUGGUCUUCAUUAGAGAUGUCUCAAGUAGAUCUCAAGGAUCAGGAUCAGGGCCAAUUGAGCAUUUCUUUAACUGAUCGGUAUCAGCUCUUCUAAGCCUGAUCAUUAUUUUAUGUCAGAUGUCAUGCCGGUGUCGUGCAGUAGAUGGCGGUGUGGACCUUUUAAGUGGGUUUACCAACCACCAUUAAAAGGAAAAGAAGACAAAUGUGCAGUGCUGCCAGCUUGGGGAGUGUGACACCAAAUUUAAUGACUUUCUCAUUGUUGCUGUGACUGUUAUUAAUUCUUUGUGACAAGGAGCUAUCUUAGCAAAGUAUAUUUGGCUUUUUUUUUUUUUUUUUUGUGGUCAACAAACACAUCUCAGAUCAUUUCAUUAUCACUUUUAAUCUACAUCUACCUUCACACCACCAACCCCUCUGCCAGUUUCAUUUAGACAAUACUUAAGGUCUCUUAUUCUUCUCGACUUUGCACUGUGCAUCGUCCUCUCUUCCCACCCCCACACAUUUAUUAUCAUUAGAUGUGAACUGUGCCAUGAAUAUGUUGUUUUCUACCAUAACUACCUGCCUAGACACUAUCUGUCCUCUUUUCUCCAGCAUGUGCUACUCACCCCAAGUCUUCCGUGAGCACCAGACUAACCUCAGUCAGGGCAGCAAAGAGAAAAUGGCACAAAUCAAAAAGACUGAGCUGAUCUAAAUAGGUAUCAGUCACAGCUACAGCUGACCAUCUUCUCACCACCUCCUCUUCACUUACAGAAGAUGAAGUCUCUAAACCUAUCCUCUCCAGCCACCCUACCAUCUGUCCUCCAGAUUCAAUCCCCUCAGAUCUCCUGCACUUCUGCCUUCACUCACACAUCAUCAACAUCUCUUCUCGCAGGCAUUCAAGCAGGCAGCUUGGGUAACCCCACUGCUCAUAAAACUUAUAAUAGACACCUCACUUGUUGAGAGCUAGAGGCUCGUCUCUCUUUCAUAGCAAAAUCACUUGAACACAUUGCUUUCACCCAAGUGUCUUCCUUCCUCUCACAGAACAACCAGUUGGGGAAGAACCAGUCAGGAUUUAAAAGUGGCCAUUCAACUGAAACCACCUUGCUGUGAGUCACUGGAUCGUUACAGAGUGCAAGAGCUGAGUCCAAAUCAUCAGUUCUCAUUCUGCUAGAUUUAUCUGCUCAUCAAAUCCUUCUGUCCAUCCUCUCAUCACUGUGCGUCACCAGUCCAGAACUGCAAUUCACUUUUCUGAGUCUCACCUUACAGCCAGAUGAUCCAACGGUACCUGCUGGGAUCUCAGGCUGCCUGACGGACAUCUUGGCAUGAAUGAAAGAGCAUCACCUGCAGCUGAACCUGGCAAAGACUGAGCUUCUCAUCUUCUCAGCCACCCUAUCAGUACAGCACCAGUUUACCAUCCAACUGGGCUCAUCAACGAUAACCCCAUUGAGUUCGACCAGGAAGAUUGGGGUGAUCCUUGAUGAUCAGCUGAUCUUUAAAGAUCAUAUUGCUAAAACAGCAUGAUCUUGCAGGCAGCGUUUUAACCCUGGAGUGAGUGAGAAGGAAGCAGCAGCUUUUAUCAUCAAAGUCAUUCAGAACUGCUUCCUGAGCAGCAGGAGCAAAACGUAUGACAUGAUCCAGUACUAUCAGAACCAGAUCCCCUACUGAAGGCCAGAGAAACCUGAGUGUGUGUGUUUCUCUUACUCUCUUAAUGCUAAAUUGCACUGCUGUCUCGGUCUGGUGUGUUUGUGCACUUUAUACACCUGAAAUGUUUGCAUGGAUUUCUACGCACUGAUAUCAGCACUUAUGAGACAUUUUCUGGACACGUCACACUGUCUGCUGCAUGAUGGGUAAACAUUACAAAAUCACUUUUGUGCCAUUUUGAUUUGUAUUUGAUGUGAUUUUAUUGUCAGUCUUAAAUAAUUUCCAGAUAAAUCAUGUAGUUUGUAAACUACAGCAGACGUGUUUAUGAACAUGAACGGCCUGAACUGCAGACAGAUGUCAUAUUUCAGAGUAACGUGGCGCAUUAUUGACUGGAACUUUCUAGAAGCCAACGACCGGAAACGACACAGACAGCUCUGAAGGGCAUUAAGCAGGACAAAAGCAGUUGACUACUAUACAUUUGUCAUAUGUCGACAGUCAUUACUGUCAUGAGACCGGGUCCACGAUGCUCCCCCUCACCACCAGAGGUCGCCACCUCCCGUCUUCCCGGACUCAAUUGCCAUUACCACACACACCUGCCACUGAUCACACUCCCAGCUGUUCUCCAUCACCAUGGUCUAUUUAUACGCCACACUCCCGCUACUCUGUCUGGUAGAAUAAUAAUUGUUCGUUGUUUGUGUAGUUGCUGUUCUGACUCUGGGGAUACAUGCACUGUGUUGCCGUUUCAUGUAUCCCACUCCUUUACCUGUUUUGUUUUUGCCCUGUUGGCUUUUUCGUUGUUUAUUAAAGUGUUUUUUC